CCUCAGCAUAUUUCCAAUAUCAUCAACCAGUCCCCUGACCUCAUUGCCCUCAUCGGCAUUGGUCGAAGUGGCCACACCGGGUUGCCGUGGGCGCCUAGGAGGCAUAGUACCUGAGGAAGAAGAUAUUUAGUAGUCCAUAAACAAGACUAACACAAUCACACAUACCCAAUAACACAUAGCAUCAAAAGUAUAAAAUGUCAAUGAAUCCGCCGCGGUCGGAUCAUCACUCUAUAGACACUGCGUGCUACUUAGGCAAAUAUGAUAGUGACAAGGAAGCAGGAAAAAGGAAACCUAAAGCUCUGAUACCAGCUGACACGACCCACCCUGAAUUUCACCCUGAAACCCGGAGUAAAACGUGCGGGGACCACCUCCAAGAAAGAUAUUACCGAAAAAUCGGCAUAACCUCCCUUGAAAAUGGAUAACCCUUCCUAAAGAAAACCUGCAAACACUUCCAAAAAAUUUAAUCCAACCUUAACUCCUGGAGCCUACGUGCUCCCCAAAUACAACUACCACCAACAACACAACAUUAUCCAUACAUCAAAUAUAAUUAUCCAAAAGAUAACAUAAAUCCUCCAACAAAUAUUCUAAGACGUCAACAAGUCUUCACCCACAACCGAAAAAAAAUAUACAUUAAACCCAAGUAUUCAAAGCUACUAAACACUAGCGGAAAAAGAAACCACAGGUAGGUUAAACAGGUAACCUACUGAUGAAAAGUGGUGGAAAUGCGGGUGACUAUGCCUCGUCUCCUACUAGGUCCAACCCGAACUCUGUAGACUGGGCAUUUUAAAACGAAGGGCCCAGGGGAAACAUUUGAACACGUUAGAGUGAGUGGACAAAAAUAAAAUAAACGAAAUAAUUCUUUAUGCUUUCCCAAUUUUACUUUUCCAUAGAAAAAUAUGCUGCAUGCGACAGCUCAAAACACUCAACACGAAAACUGGAAAUUUCAUGACUAGCUCCGGCCAGUCUCCAAUGCUCAGUAAAAUACAGCCUCUCAGGCUAAAAUAAAAUAUGUAUGUAUUACACUCGUCAUAUCCCUUGUAUGAAUUUUCUUGAAACAACAAAAACAAAUAGAAAAUUCACACAAGGCUACGACGCUUGCGUCUAACGCUCACGUCGCACCAUAAUGGCAUUUUACCUCAUUAUGGUGGAAAAGACGGUGUAUAAAUAUACGCGCAUAUCCCCUAUAUAAAAUAUUAUUUUUAUAUAGGGCUACGACGAUUGCGUCUAACGCUCACGUCGCACCAUAAUGGAAUUUUACCUCAGUAUGUGAAAAGCACGUAUAGCUAGCUAGCAUUCUCUCAUAUACAUA
rnacentral:lncRNA from 1 species